rnacentral:rRNA from 1 species
GAUGAACGCUAGCGGCGCGCCUAAUGCAUGCAAGUCGAACGGUCCAAUCCUAGCUUGCUAGGGUUAGAUAGUGGCAAACGGCUGAGUAAUACACAGGUGACCUAUCCUCAAGUGGGGAAUAACCCCGAGAAAUCGGAGCUAAUACCGCAUGUGAUCCCCCGAUAGAUAUUGGGGGAUUAAAGCCUUCGGGCGCUUAGGGAGGGGCUUGUGACCUAUCAGGUAGUUGGCAGGGUAAGAGCCUACCAAGCCAGAGACGGGUAGCUGGUCUGAGAGGAUGGUCAGUCAGACGGGGACUGAGACACGGCCCCGACUCCUACGGGAGGCAGCAGCAGGGGAUAUUGCGCAAUGGGCGAAAGCCUGACGCAGCGACGCCGCGUGGGGGAAGAAGGUCUUCGGGUUGUAAACCCCUUUUCUUGGUGAAGAGGAAGGACGGUAGCCAAGGAAUAAGUCUCGGCUAACUACGUGCCAGCAGCCGCGGUAAAACGUAGGAGGCGAGCGUUAUCCGGAAUUACUGGGCGUAAAGGGCGUGUAGAUGGCUUUUUAAGUCGGCUGUGAAAUCUCCCGGCUCAACCGGGAGGGGUCAGUCGAUACUGGGAAGCUUGAGGGCAGCAGAGGAAGGUGGAAUUCCCGGUGUAGCGGUGAAAUGCGUAGAUAUCGGGAGGAACACCAGUGGCGAAGGCGGCCUUCUGGGCUGUUUCUGACAUUGAGGCGCGAAAGCGUGGGGAGCGAAGCGGAUUAGAUACCCGCGUAGUCCACGCCCUAAACGGUGGACACUAGGUAUGGGGGGUAUCGACCCCCUCCGUGCCGUAGCUAACGCUUUAAGUGUCCCGCCUGGGGACUACGACUGCAAGGUUAAAACUCAAAGGAAUUGACGGGGGCCCGCACAAGCAGCGGAGCGUGUGGUUUAAUUCGAUGCAACGCGAAGAACCUUACCAAGGCUUGACAUGCUAGUGGUAGGAACUCGAAAGGGCAACGACCCCGAUUCGUCGGGGAGCUAGCACAGGUGCUACAUGGCUGUCGUCAGCUCGUGCCGUGAGGUGUUGGGUUAAGUCCCGCAACGAGCGCAACCCUUAUUGCUAGUUGAAUUCUCUAGCGAGACUGCUCCGAGAAUCGGAGAGGAAGGUGGGGAUGACGUCAAGUCAGCAUGGCCCUUAUGUCUUGGGCGACACACACGCUACAAUGGGCGGUACAAAGGGUAGCCACAGAGCGAUCUGGAGCCAAUCCCAAAAAGCCGUCCCCAGUUCAGAUUGCAGGCUGAAACUCGCCUGCAUGAAGGAGGAGUUGCUAGUAACCGCAGGUCAGCAUACUGCGGUGAAUACGUUCUCGGGCCUUGUACACACCGCCCGUCACGUCAUGAAAGUCGGCAACACCUGAAGUCGACGAACCAACCCCUCGAGCAAUCGCGGGGAGGUAGUCGCCGAGGGUGGGGUUGGUGAUUGGGACG